rnacentral:rRNA from 1 species
UACGUAGGGGGCUAGCGUUGUCCGGAAUCAUUGGGCGUAAAGAGCGUGUAGGCGGUCUGGUAGGUCCGUUGUGAAAACUCGAGGCUCAACCUCGAGACGCCGAUGGAAACCCUCAGACUAGAGUCCGGAAGAGGAGAGUGGAAUUCCUGGUGUAGCGGUGAAAUGCGCAGAUAUCAGGAAGAACACCCGUGGCUAAGGCGGCUCUCUAGUACGUGACUGACGCUGAGACGCGAAAGCGUGGGGAGCGAACAGG